rnacentral:rRNA from 1 species
GAGUUUGAUCAUGGCUCAGGAUGAACGCUAGCGGCAAGCUUAAUACAUGCAAGUCGAGGGGCAGCAUGAAGUAGCAAUACUUUGAUGGCGACCGGCAAACGGGUGCGGAACACGUACACAACCUUCCUUUUAGUGGGGAAUAGCCCAGAGAAAUUUGGAUUAAUACCCCGUAACAUAACGAUGUGGCAUCACAUUGUUAUUAUAGCUUCGGCGCUAGAUGAUGGGUGUGCGUAUGAUUAGAUAGUUGGCGAGGUAACGGCUCACCAAGUCUACGAUCAUUAGCUGAUGUGAGAGCAUGAUCAGCCACACGGGCACUGAGACACGGGCCCGACUCCUACGGGAGGCAGCAGUAAGGAAUAUUGGUCAAUGGACGCAAGUCUGAACCAGCUAUGCCGCGUGAAGGAUUAAGGUCCUCUGGAUUGUAAACUUCUUUUAUCUGGGACGAAAAAAGGUCUUUCUAGAUCACUUGACGGUACCAGAUGAAUAAGCACCGGCUAACUCCGUGCCAGCAGCCGCGGUAAUACGGAGGGUGCAAGCGUUAUCCGGAUUCACUGGGUUUAAAGGGUGCGUAGGCGGGCAGGUAAGUCAGUGGUGAAAUCCUGGAGCUCAACUCCAGAACUGCCAUUGAUACUAUCUGUCUUGAAUAUUGUGGAGGUAAGCGGAAUAUGUCAUGUAGCGGUGAAAUGCUUAGAUAUGACAUAGAACACCCAUUGCGAAGGCAGCUUACUACGCAUAUAUUGACGCUGAGGCACGAAAGCGUGGGGAUCAAACAGGAUUAGAUACCCUGGUAGUCCACGCCCUAAACGAUGGAUACUCGACAUACGCGAUACAUUGUGUGUGUCUGAGCGAAAGCAUUAAGUAUCCCACCUGGGAAGUACGUUUCGCAGAAUGAAACUCAAAGGAAUUUGGCGGGGUCCGCACAAGCGGAG